rnacentral:rRNA from 1 species
GAUGAACGCUAGCGGGAGGCUUAACACAUGCAAGUCGAGGGGCAGCACGAUGUAGCAAUACGUUGGUGGCGACCGGCGCACGGGUGAGUAACACGUAUGUAACCUACCCUGUACAGGGGGAUAACCCGGAGAAAUUCGGACUAAUACUCCAUGGAGAUAUACUGGGGCAUCCUGGUAUAUUUAAAGCUUCGGUGGUACGGGAUGGGCAUGCGGAACAUUAGCUAGUUGGCAGGGUAACGGCCUACCAAGGCUACGAUGUUUAGGGGACCUGAGAGGGUGAUCCCCCACACUGGUACUGAGACACGGACCAGACUCCUACGGGAGCAGCAGUGAGGAAUAUUGGUCAAUGGGCGGAAGCCUGAACCAGCCAUCCCGCGUGCAGGAAGACGGCCCUAUGGGUUGUAAACUGCUUUUCCGAGGGGGAGAAACUUUCCGAUGCAGUCGGGAUUUGACGGUACCCGUGGGAAUAAGCAUCGGCUAACGUCCGUGCCAGCAGCCGGGUAAAGUGUGUGUACG